AUUGAACGCUGGCGGCAGGCCUAACACAUGCAAGUCGCACGAGUGGCGGACGGGUGAGUAAUGUAUGGGAAACUGCCUGAUGGAGGGGGAUAACUACUGGAAACGGUCGCUAAUAACGCAUACCAUCGGAUGUGCCCAGAUGGGAUUAGCUAGUAGGUGGGGUAAAGGCUCACCUAGGCGACGAGCCCUAGCUGGUCUGAGAGGAGGACCAGCUACACUGGAACUGAGACACGGUCCAGACUCCUACGGGAGUCAGCAGUGGGGAAUAUUGCACAAUGGGCGCAAGCCUGAUGCAGCCAUGCCGCGUGUAUGAAGAAGGCCUUCGGGUUGUAAAGUACUUUCAGCGGGGAGGCGUUACCCGCAGAAGAAGCACCGGCUAACUCCGUGCCAGCAGCCGCGGUAAUUC
rnacentral:rRNA from 1 species